CACAUUCUCUAACUCCUUUCCUUAUCUUAACCUUUUUUAUCAAUGGCUUCUCUUCACUUUUCAACUCUUCUCAUUGCAAUUUCCAUCACCAUCUUCAUCUCUUUAUUCUCAUCACCAGUUUCCUCCAUAACCUGUGAAAACCAAAGGCUGAUAAUGGGUCAUGAAGCUGAUAAGGUUAAUGAUGAUUCCAAGGCACCUUUGAAGUUCGGGAAGGAAGAGAAUAAGACACCGUUGAAGUUCGGGGUGAAAAUGAAGGCAGAGUCCCCAAGUGCUCAUGGUAAGAAGAAGAGUGGUGGUGUGGCGAUGAUGAUGAGAAAAUCCGGUUUUGGAUUUUACUUUGGGUUAGCUUUGGUCUUGUUGGGUUUUAUGAGUAUGUAAUUUGUUUUUAUUAUUUGGUUAAUAAGGUUAUUAAUAUGUGUUAUUUGGAUUUAUCUUCUUCUUCUUUGUUUCACUAAGGUAUAGUUAGUUG
rnacentral:lncRNA from 1 species